AUGGACCGAUCGGUUUCCGGCGGGAGAGGGUACUACUACUCGGCGGCGCCGGUGGGCACGGGCAUGGGCAUGGGCCCGCUCGCGGGCCAGCUCGGCGAGUGGCUGUUCCGGGCCGUGCAGCCGCCGGCGCCCACGCCGUGCGGGUCGCCCGGCGGGCCCCCGAUCACCGCGCCGCGGGUCCGGAUGAGGGACGGCCGGCACUUGGCGUACGAGGAGUCCGGCGUGUCUAAGGAGACCGCACGGUUCAAGAUCGUCUUCUCCCACGGCUUCACCGGCUCCCGCCUCGACAGCCUCCGCGCAUCGCCGGAGGUCGCCGAGGAGCUUGGCGUGUACAUGGUGGGAUUCGACCGCGCCGGCUACGGCGAGAGCGACCCCAACCCUGGCCGCUCCGUGGAGACCGCGGCGCAGGACAUGGAGGACCUGGCCGACGCGCUGGGGCUCGGCGACAAGUUCUACGUCGUCGGCUUCUCCCUCGGCUGCCACGCCGUGUGGGGCGCGCUCAGGUACAUCCCGGAGCGGAUCGCCGGGGCAGCGAUGCUGGCACCGGUGGUGAACUACUGGUGGCCCGGGUUCCCGGCGGAGCUGGCGGCCCGGGAGUACGGCCGGCAGGAGCGCGGCGACCAGUGGGCGCUGCGCGUUGCGCACCACGCCCCCGGCAUCAUACACUGGUGGAUGGAGCAGAGCUGGCUGCCCCUGCCCACCUCCACCGUCGUCGUCAACACUACCUACCUCCCCAACAAGCGCGACGCCGAGAUCCGACGCACCCUCACCGCCGACGGCACCCUCCGGAAGAAGAGGGAGAUGGCGACGCAGCAAGGGAUCCAGGAGUCGUACUACAGGGACAUGGCCGUCAUGUUCGGCAAGUGGGAGUUCGACCCCAUGGCGCUGCCGGAGCCGCCGUGCCCGGUGCACCUGUGGCAGGGCGACGAGGACGGCCUCGUGCCCGUCGCGCUGCAGCGGCACGUCGCCGGGAGGCUCGGCUGGGUCAACUACCACGAGCUUCCCGGCACCGGCCACUUCCUGUCCGCCGUUCCCGGGCUCGGAGACACCGUUCUCCGGACACUUUUCGGUUGA
rnacentral:rRNA from 1 species